ACAACAACAACUACUACUACUACUACUACUACAAGAACAACAAGAACAAGUGCAGGACAGACUUUAUGCAGUUGUAAACAAGAAAACUUCCACUCCAGCACAUUUGAUUAAGGCACAUUGCUGUGCAGGAAAGCCAUGCAAUACACCACCUGCAUGUCAAAAUGGAGGAUCAGUAAAUUACAGGUGUGAGUGCGUGUGUCCAAAGCCGUGGGAAGGAGACUUAUGUCAAACUUGUUCACCUUUACUGUGCGAAAACGAUGGGACACCAGAUCCAACUUGUAGUCACUGCAAAUGCAAAGAAGGCUCUGGAG